GGUUGUAUUACACAAACUUUCUAUUAUUACAAUAGAGUUUGAAGAACUUCUAAUUUUUGGAAGAAUUGAGCUUUCUCUUUUUUUGUUUUUGUUAGAGUGUAUGUGCAGUUAGAUUUAGGGCCCCCCUUUUUUUCAAUAAAUGCAUAGACUUUUACAUUUUGGUUUGCCAGGGUCCUUUUUUUAAAUCUUGGAUUUGUACCUGAUUAUGUUAUUGGUUGGUGCAUGCACUACAUGUAACAGGAUCAAAGAAAGAAAAUGUUCAGUAAAUAAGAUGUAACAAUAUGACUUUAUAACUUGAUAGACCAUAAGGUGAUAGUCCCAAAAUAAAGUUUCAUAACUGAUUGAAGCAUUGGAAACAUUUGUUUAACUUUUUUUUAUAUUGCCUGUUAAUGGCAUAUAAAGUUCAAAAUA
rnacentral:lncRNA from 1 species